rnacentral:pre_miRNA from 1 species
AGUGAAUUGCUGGGACUAUAUGGUAACUCUUGGUUUUAGCAUUUUGAGCAACUGACAAACUGUUUUUCAAAACAAUUGAACUAUUUUACAUUCCCACUAGUAGA